rnacentral:rRNA from 1 species
UACGUAGGGGGCAAGCGUUGUCCGGAAUCAUUGGGCGUAAAGCGCGUGUAGGCGGCUCGGUAAGUCUGCUGUGAAAGUCAAAGGCUCAACCUUUGAAAGCCGGUGGAUACUGUGAGGCUAGAGUACGGAAGAGGCGAGUGGAAUUCCUGGUGUAGCGGUGGAAUGCGCAGAUAUCAGGAGGAACACCAAUAGCGAAGGCAGCUCGCUGGGACGUUACUGACACUGAGGCGCGAAAGCGUGGGGAGCGAACAGG